GGUGCGGGCCAGGUGUCCGCCGGUUCCCUCCGAGGGACGGGAGGAAAGUCCGGGCUCCCCAGGGCCAGGGUGCUGGCUAACGGCCAGUGGGGGCAACCCCAAGGAAAGUGCCACAGAGAACAGACCGCCCGCCCGCCCUGCCGAGGCAGGGCGUGGCGCAGGGAAGACGGCGCAAGCCUUUCUUUCUCAACCCCUCCGGCUCGCGGGCCGGGAGGGCGGCAAGGGUGAAACGGUGCGGCAAGAGCGCACCGCCGGGGUGGAGACAUCCCGGGCACGGCAAACCCCACCUGGAGCAAGAUCGCAUAGAGGCGCGUCCGGAGGCGGCUCCGGAGCGGAGGGCCCGUCCGCGGCGCCCGGGUCGAUCGCUCGAGCCGGACGGCAACGUCCGGCCUAGACGAAUGGGCACCGCCCCGCCGGGGGCAACUCCGGCGGGGAACAGAACCCGGCUUACGGCCCGCACUGGCG
rnacentral:RNase_P_RNA from 1 species